rnacentral:rRNA from 1 species
UACGUAGGGGGCAAGCGUUGUCCGGAUUUAUUGGGCGUAAAGAGCGUGUAGGCGGCCAAACAGGUCAGCUGUGAAAACUCGAGGCUCAACCUCGAGACGUCGGUUGAAACCGUUUGGCUAGAGUCCGGAAGAGGAGAGUGGAAUUCCCGGUGUAGCGGUGAAAUGCGCAGAUAUCAGGAGGAACACCAAUGGCGAAGGCAGCUCGCUGGGACGGUACUGACGCUGAGACGCGAAAGCGUGGGGAGCGAACAGG